rnacentral:rRNA from 1 species
GCCUGCGGAGGGAUCAUUACUGAGUUUACGCUCUAUAACCCUUUGUGAACAUACCUAUAACUGUUGCUUCGGCGGGUAGGGUCUCCGCGACCCUCCCGGCCUCCCGCCCCCGGGCGGGUCGGCGCCCGCCGGAGGAUAACCAAACUCUGAUUUAACGACGUUUCUUCUGAGUGGUACAAGCAAAUAAUCAAAACUUUUAACAACGGAUCUCUUGGUUCUGGCAUCGAUGAAGAACGCAGCGAAAUGCGAUAAGUAAUGUGAAUUGCAGAAUUCAGUGAAUCAUCGAAUCUUUGAACGCACAUUGCGCCCGCCAGCAUUCUGGCGGGCAUGCCUGUUCGAGCGUCAUUUCAACCCUCAAGCUCUGCUUGGUGUUGGGGCCCUACAGCUGAUGUAGGCCCUCAAAGGUAGUGGCGGACCCUCCCGGAGCCUCCUUUGCGUAGUAACUUUACGUCUCGCACUGGGAUCCGGAGGGACUCUUGCCGUAAAACCCCCCAAUUUUCCAAAGGUUGACCUCGGAUCAGGUAGGAAUACCCGCUGAACUUAAGCAUAUCAA